AAUCUGGGACCUCAGGUGACCUGUCAGCUAAAGGGUGCGAUGUGACUUCUUCGUGUGGUUUUGGACUUCCUCACAACAUGGUGGCCUUGAGAUGGUUGGAAUUCUUACAGGGUGUCUCAGGGCUCAAAGCAUGAGAGCUCCAGUAAACAAAAGGAAAGCUUUAUGGCCUUGACGGCUCAGCUUCUGAAGCUACGCAGCAUCAUUUUUGGUAUUCUGGUAUUUUUCCUGUUGAUCCACUCUGUCCUGCUUUAGUUAUUAUGGAUGUUUGAUGGCUUCUGUGGAAAAUAAUGAAAUAAUCCCCCAGUCAGAAGGAUUCUGAGCUUUCCUAACAGUGAAAAUUACCUGGUGCUGGAUCUUUCCGAGUGCUCGCCAAGGCAGACUGUUGAGGAAGAAGCACACUCUGUUGGGGUCCAGCAGAUCUUGGCUCUGGUCAGCCCUUGCUUAGUCAAAUGUGACCUUGGCUAAAGACCUUAGUAGAAUCUGUGUUUUCUUGUCUGUGAAGUGGACGUCGUAAUUCCUGCUUCAUGAUGUCACAGAGUUUUCGUAAAGAUCAAAAAAGGCGUCCCCACCCAGACCCCAACAGAGGGUUCGUGGAUCUCUCUCAAGAAAGAAUUCAAGGCGAGUCCAGAGUGCAAAGCAAAAGCAAGUUUAUUAAGAAAGCACAGUGGUGAGAGGACAGCUACUCCAUAGCCAGCAUAGGACGUUUCUGAGAGCAAGAGGAGGAGUGCGUCCACCCCCGGUACCAUGCUGGACAUAUGGCCCUCCUGCAAAGAUAGCGUACAUAAUUCACAAGCUCCCUGCUCACCAUCAAGCACCUCCAUUUAUCAGACACCCGGGCUGAAAGAAGAAUGCAAGUUAAGCUUCCUGCUGCCUUGUUGUUCUCAAUCAGCUGAGUUCCGUUCUAUGAAAUCCUCAGCAAGCCUUUGUCUCCCAGCAGUUGGCUCCUCUUCUACUGACCCUGCCUAUUGUCUCCUUGCAAUGUAUUUUCCUGCUUUCUCUAAUAAAUCUGCCUUUCUCUACCAACGACUGUCUUUUUGUUUUUGUUUUUGAGACGGAGUCUCUGUCUUCCAGACUGGAAGGCAGUGGUGUAAUCUCAUCUCCCUGCAACCUCUGUCUCUUGUGUUCAAGUGAUUCUCCUGCCUCAGCCUCCUGAGUAGCUGGGAUUACAGGCGCCCACCACCACGUCCGACUAAGUUUUGUAUUUUUAGUAGAGACAGGGUUUCACCCUGUUAGCCACGCUGGUCUCGAACUCCUGACCUCAGGUGAUCUGCCUGCCUUGGCCUCCCACAGUAUUGGAUUGCACGCUUGAGCCACUGCGCCCGGGUAUCCUACAACUGUCUUGGUAAAUUCUUUUACUCUGGCGCCACCAGGCCCAAAGAGUCGUUGCUCCCCGUGACCCCAUGCUCUUCAGUUUCCUCUUGGUUUUGUCGUCUUAGGGAGAAGUCAGGAGAAAGGUCGGCUCUGACUGGGUUGAGUUGACAGAUUUUUGCCUUUAGCUUCCAAAGAUGAUGAUAAGAACCCAAAGGGAGAGUCACCCGCGGUAUAACACUGAGAACCCUGGACUGAGGUCAGAAGUCUCUGCAGAGCUUUCUUUACCAAUGUUAAGAUGUAAUGACCAUUUUGAAAGUGAAUAAUUGUUAUUAAAAGAGAAGUGAUAUCCUCAUUCUUCUAUUUGGUUUUCCUUCACUACUGUUGUUAAUGGC
rnacentral:lncRNA from 1 species